rnacentral:rRNA from 2 species
CACUAUCGUUAACUGAAUACAUAGGUUAACGAGGCGAACCGGGGGAACUGAAACAUCUAAGUACCCCGAGGAAAAGAAAUCAACCGAGAUUCCCCCAGUAGCGGCGAGCGAACGGGGAGCAGCCCGGAGUCUGAAUCAGCUUGUGUGUUAGUGGAACGGUCUGGAAAGUCCGACGGUACAGGGUGAUAGUCCCGUACACGAAAGCACACAUGCUGUGAACUCGAAGAGUAGGGCGGGACACGUGGUAUCCUGUCUGAAUAUGGGGGGACCAUCCUCCAAGGCUAAAUACUCCUGACUGACCGAUAGUGAACCAGUACCGUGAGGGAAAGGCGAAAAGAACCCCGGCGAGGGGAGUGAAAAAGAACCUGAAACCGUGUACGUACAAGCAGUGGGAGCCUCUUUAUGGGGUGACUGCGUACCUUUUGUAUAAUGGGUCAGCGACUUAUAUUCUGUAGCAAGGUUAACCGUAUAGGGGAGCCGAAGGGAAACCGAGUCUUAACUGGGCGUUAAGUUGCAGGGUAUAGACCCGAAACCCGGUGAUCUAGCCAUGGGCAGGUUGAAGGUUGGGUAACACUAACUGGAGGACCGAACCGACUAAUGUUGAAAAAUUAGCGGAUGACCUGUGGCUGGGGGUGAAAGGCCAAUCAAACCGGGAGAUAGCUGGUUCUCCCCGAAAGCUAUUUAGGUAGCGCCUCGUGAACUCAUCUUCGGGGGUAGAGCACUGUUUCGGCUAGGGGGCCAUCCCGGCUUACCAACCCGAUGCAAACUACGAAUACCGAAGAAUGUUAUCACGGGAGACACACGGCGGGUGCUAACGUCCGUCGUGAAGAGGGAAACAACCCAGACCGCCAGCUAAGGUCCCAAAGUCAUGGUUAAGUGGGAAACGAUGUGGGAAGGCACAGACAGCCAGGAUGUUGGCUUAGAAGCAGCCAUCAUUUAAAGAAAGCGUAAUAGCUCACUGGUCGAGUCGGCCUGCGCGGAAGAUGUAACGGGGCUAAACCAUGCACCGAAGCUGCGGCAGCGACACUAUGUGUUGUUGGGUAGGGGAGCGUUCUGUAAGCCGUUGAAGGUGUGCUGUGAGGCAUGCUGGAGGUAUCAGAAGUGCGAAUGCUGACAUAAGUAACGAUAAAGCGGGUGAAAAGCCCGCUCGCCGGAAGACCAAGGGUUCCUGUCCAACGUUAAUCGGGGCAGGGUGAGUCGACCCCUAAGGCGAGGCCGAAAGGCGUAGUCGAUGGGAAACAGGUUAAUAUUCCUGUACUUGGUGUUACUGCGAAGGGGGGACGGAGAAGGCUAUGUCAGCCGGGCGACGGUUGUCCCGGUUUAAGCAUGUAGGCGGAGGUUCCAGGUAAAUCCGGUACCUUGUUAACGCUGAGGUGUGAUGACGAGGCACUACGGUGCUGAAGUGAUAAAUGCCCUGCUUCCAGGAAAAGCCUCUAAGCAUCAGGUAACACGAAAUCGUACCCCAAACCGACACAGGUGGUCAGGUAGAGAAUACCAAGGCGCUUGAGAGAACUCGGGUGAAGGAACUAGGCAAAAUGGUGCCGUAACUUCGGGAGAAGGCACGCUGAUGUGUAGGUGAAGCCCCUGCGGGCGGAGCUGAAAUCAGUCGAAGAUACCAGCUGGCUGCAACUGUUUAUUAAAAACACAGCACUGUGCAAACACGAAAGUGGACGUAUACGGUGUGACGCCUGCCCGGUGCCGGAAGGUUAAUUGAUGGGGUUAGCUGUAAGGCGAAGCUCUUGAUCGAAGCCCCGGUAAACGGCGGCCGUAACUAUAACGGUCCUAAGGUAGCGAAAUUCCUUGUCGGGUAAGUUCCGACCUGCACGAAUGGCGUAAUGAUGGCCAGGCUGUCUCCACCCGAGACUCAGUGAAAUUGAACUCGCUGUGAAGAUGCAGUGUACCCGCGGCAAGACGGAAAGACCCCGUGAACCUUUACUAUAGCUUGACACUGAACACUGGUCCUUGAUGUGUAGGAUAGGUGGGAGGCUUUGAAGCGUGGACGCCAGUCUGCGUGGAGCCAACCUUGAAAUACCACCCUUUAAUGGCUGGUGUUCUAACGUAGACCCGUAAUCCGGGUUGCGGACAGUGUCUGGUGGGUAGUUUGACUGGGGCGGUCUCCUCCCAAAGAGUAACGGAGGAGCACGAAGGUUGGCUAAUCCUGGUCGGACAUCAGGAGGUUAGUGCAAUGGCAUAAGCCAGCUUGACUGCGAGCGUGACGGCGCGAGCAGGUGCGAAAGCAGGUCAUAGUGAUCCGGUGGUUCUGAAUGGAAGGGCCAUCGCUCAACGGAUAAAAGGUACUCCGGGGAUAACAGGCUGAUACCGCCCAAGAGUUCAUAUCGACGGCGGUGUUUGGCACCUCGAUGUCGGCUCAUCACAUCCUGGGGCUGAAGUAGGUCCCAAGGGUAUGGCUGUUCGCCAUUUAAAGUGGUACGCGAGCUGGGUUUAGAACGUCGUGAGACAGUUCGGUCCCUAUCUGCCGUGGGCGCUGGAGAAUUGAGGGGGGCUGCUCCUAGUACGAGAGGACCGGAGUGGACGCAUCACUGGUGUUCGGGUUGUCAUGCCAAUGGCACUGCCCGGUAGCUAAAUGCGGAAGAGAUAAGUGCUGAAAGCAUCUAAGCACGAAACUUGCCCCGAGAUGAGUUCUCCCUGAGACCUUGAGUCUCCUGAAGGAACGUUAAAGACGAUGACGUUGAUAGGUCGGGUGUGUAAGCGCAGCGAUGCGUUGAGCUAACCGAUACUAAUGAACCGUGAGGCUUAACCUU